AGAUCCCGUAGAAGACGGUGCUGUGUACAUCCGGGCCCUCCAGUACGAAGACGCUACGCAGCACAUUGAGGUGGAGCUCGUAGUCAGGAACGGAGCACACCAGCCUGGCCUUCAGGAAGGACGUCCACUUCCUCUGCAAGGUCCUCUGGCCCCCCCAGUCACCCUGGAGGGAGGAGAGCGAGAUAGCCAUGGGCACAUUCCAACACUGACAUCACAGAGGCAGUAGAAAUUGACCAGGGAUGUUAACUUGAUAAGUGUGUGACCAUUUUCCUGUCCUGAACUACAAAUGCCUGUCUCAAGCUUCACGUCACUCACCAGGGCCAUGAUGAUCUGGACGAGACUGCCAAAUCGAAGCAAAGGAAGACAUUGAUCUGUUUGCUGUUACCCUCUGGACAGCAGAUUACUAGUAUAGCUACAAGGAAAGGUAAUGUAACCUUAUUUAGUCCUAUUUGCAUUGGUGAGUUUUAAAUGAAUUGGUAUUCACACAUUUGUUUUUCAGGUAGAAUUACUGUCAUGUUAUUGAUGCCAAAUUGCCAACAUUAUUCCAGAACCAAUGGGUGAGCCUGAGUCUUAUCACCUCCACUAGGAAAGCUGUUUCCACUUCCUGUAAUAUUUCAGUCAUUGCAGGAAGUCCAGAGGAGCAGGAGUGUGUGAAGGGUUUCGUCCCAGCCCAACUCUAAUACCUGAUAAUCAACAUAACAAAUCACAGCGAUAGGCUAUGAUUUGUAAUCAGGUAUGCUUUGUAAUCAGGGGUGGAUUCAUAUACUGUAGAUGUUAUUGAUAUAUAACGCACGCUCCACUCUCAAGUUGAACUUGUUGACUGAUGCCAAGGCGAUGGUUGGCGAAGAUAAAGGGAGCGGCUGCAGACCAGAAGACUGCAGCCAAGGCAUCACUGGUCCACACCUGCCCUGUCCUAUCUAUUUGUAAAUUAAUGUACUGGCCUUUGUGGUAGUAAUUUGUGUAGUAAUUUGUUGCAUCGUAUUGCUCAGUUUAUCAUUUGUGUCAACUUUGAAUUCAAUCUUAGCCACAGAUUGUUAACUUAAUUCAUUUUGUACUUGACCUUUAUAGACGCAGACCCGAAGACAUUCAAGCAGCACUUUGAGAGCAUGUAUCCAAAGUCUUCAAUGGUCCCAGUACUGGUUGAUGUGCAGGCCUAAGUGACCACACACACUCAAAUGGAACUCCAGCUAGGGUAAGAUUCUUUCAUCAUUCACACACAGUAGACAUAGUCCAUGCUUUUGUCACUUCUAGGUUAGACUACUGCAAUGCUCUACUUUCCGGUUACCUGGAUAAAGCACUAAAUAAACUUCAGUUAGUGCUUAACACAGCUGCUAGAAUCUUGACUAGAACCAAAAAGAAAUAGCAUGUUACUCAAGUGCUAGCCUCUCUAAACUGGCUUCCUGUUAAAACCUCUUCGGGCUAGGGGACAGUAUUUUCACGUCCGGAUGAAAAGUGUGCCCAAAGUAAACUGCCU